rnacentral:tRNA from 1 species
UCUAAGGUGGCUCAGAGGGUAAAGCGUCUGCCUGCAAUGCAGGAGACCUGGGUUCGAUCCCUGGGCCAGGAA